rnacentral:misc_RNA from 1 species
GAUGAAGAACGUAGCGAUAUGCGAUAAGUAGUGUGAAUUGCAGAAUUCAGUGAAUCAUCGAAUCUUUGAACGCACAUUGCGCCCCUUGGUAUUCCAUGGGGCAUGCCUGUUCGAGCGUCAUUUGUACCUUCAAGCUUUGCUUGGUGUUGGGUGUUUGUCUCGCCUUUGCGUGUAGACUCGCCUUAAAAUAAUUGGCAGCCGGCGUAUUGAUUUCGGAGCGCAGUACAUCUCGCGCUUUGCACUCAUAACGACAGCGUCCAAAAGUACAUUUUACACUCUUGACCUCGGAUCAGGUAGGGAUACCCGCUGAACUUAAGCAUAUCAAUAAGCGGAGGA